rnacentral:rRNA from 1 species
GCAAGUCGAACGCGAACGUCUCUUCGGAGGCUAGUAGAGUGGCGAACGGGGGAGUAACACGUGGAUAACCUGCCUAGACAGGGGGGACAACUUUUGGAAACGAAAGCUAAUACCGCAUACGCUCGAGGAUCGCAUGGUCCUCGCGGAAAGACCGCCUCUUCUUGAAAGCGGUCGUGUUUAGAGGGAUCCGUGGCGGAUCAGUUAGUUGGUGGGGUAACGGCCUACCAAGGCGACGAUCAGUAGCCGGCCUGAGAGGGCGAUC